AGAGUUUGAUCCUCGCGCUCAGGAUGAACGCUGGCGGCGUGCCUAAUACAUGCAAGUCGAACGCACUGUGGUUCAACUGAUUUGAAGAGCUUGCUCUGAUAUGACGAUGAACAUUGCAGUGAGUGGCGAACGGGUGAGUAACACGUGGGAAACCUACCUCUUAGCGGGGGAUAACAUCUGGAAACAGAUGCUAAUACCGCAUAACACUAGCAACCGCAUGGUUGCUACUUGAAAGAUGGUUCUGCUAUCACUAAGAGAUGGUCCCGCGGCGCAUUAGUUAGUUGGUGAGGUAAUGGCUCACCAAGACGAUGAUGCGUAGCCGAGUUGAGAGACUGAUCGGCCACAAUGGGACUGAGACACGGCCCAUACUCCUACGGGAGGCAGCAGUAGGGAAUCUUCCACAAUGGACGAAAGUCUGAUGGAGCAACGCCGCGUGUGUGAUGAAGGGUUUCGGCUCGUAAAACACUGUUGUAAGAGAAGAGUAGCAUCAAGAGUAACUGCUUGGUGUGUGACGGUAUCUUACCAGAAAGGAACGGCUAAAUACGUGCCAGCAGCCGCGGUAAUACGUAUGUUCCAAGCGUUAUCCGGAUUUAUUGGGCGUAAAGCGAGCGCAGACGGUUUUUUAAGUCCGAAGUGAAAGCCCACAGCUUAACUGUGGAAGUGCUUUGGAAACUGGAUGACUUGAGUGCAGUAGAGGAGAGUGGAAUUCCAUGUGUAGCGGUGAAAUGCGUAGAUAUAUGGAGGAACACCAGUGGCGAAUGCGGCUCUCUGGACUGUAACUGACGUUGAGGCUCGAAAGUGUGGUAGC
rnacentral:rRNA from 1 species